CUGCUGCUUUCAUUUCUGAGCUGCCAUAACCAGAAGCUCCUGCUGCUGGCUGCCCACGCGCUUCACUACAGCAGGUCUCGCUCAUCAGGAAGAUCGGCCCUGACCGUCAUAUGUAAGGCCAGAAGGGGGCUGUGACAGCCAGCUGUGACUGCAUCACAGGCCUUUUUAGAAGAUCCCAUCUGCUCUCUGAAUUCUUCCUUCAGCGAGUGAACUUGGCGUGGAUUUGGGAAAAGAGAGGAGAAAGGCA